UGACCAAUAAGCUGACCAAUAAGCAACCAGAAAGUCUUUGCAUUAUUGACUCAAGUCAAAACACUCCGUUCUGCUUGCUUGCCAGAAAACCCAGGAAAAGCCAAAAGGGCAAAAAAAAAAAAAACUUUCCUUUUCUUUUCAUCGGUUUUUCCGAUACCCAAAUAGAGCACCAGUGCCAGAGAUUGUUUUUCCUCUCUUUCUUUAGUUAUUAUCAUCAAAUAAUUGAUUUUGCUCAUGUGAGUAAGGAAAAGUGAAAAACUUCCAGUGAUAUAUUUCCAGGUUUUGUUUGUACUUGUUGAUUUAUGGUUUUUAUUUUUGCAUGUGUUUAUGGUCGACUUGUUUCUAUCACUCCUUUGGCUUCUAUUUUGCAGCUCUUGCCUGCCUGCCAUGCUUGGUUAUUUCUGUUUCUCAAUUUUCAGGUUCUAUUUCACUUUCUUUAUUACCUAAAGCUAUGAACUCCGGUGUCCUUUUGAAAUCUCAUUAAUUUCUUUUGCAUGUGUCCAUUAACCAAUUCCAGUUUUUUAUGAUAAAAAUACCUGGGAAUUUUAGGUCUCAUAACAUUGGAUUGCAUGCCCAUUUAUAGAUACUUUCUGCUUUCUGUUUUGUGAUUUUGAAAAUUUCUUUGUGUUAUAUGGCUUAGUUUACAUGCCAAUUAAAUUUACUUUCAGUGCUGCAUCAUGUUCUAGGUUGACGAUUUAACUACUCUUCUUGAUGUCAAUUUUGCCUGGCUUUAUUUAUUAUGUGAUGGAAUAGUGACUUUUAACGAAAACAUCUAAUUGGUUCACUCGAAUUGAUAAUGGUAUUAGCCUGCUUCUUCGGGUGAUCCCUUUCACAUCACUGAAUUUUUCAUUUUUACCUUCUUCAUUGAUAAAAAGAACAAUGAUCGUCUCUUGAGUUACUUGCUCCUCUGGAGUAAUAAAUACAGGUUAUUUCUGCUCCUUUGUGCACUUCCCAUUUGAAAUCUUGGAUGUCCCUGUUUGAAGCCUGAUCUAAAACUUUUAGUUGAUUUUGAUUCCCUGGUUCCUACUUUAGUUUCCCCAAGUACAGAACACAAAUACUGAUAGUGCCAUUUAAAUGAUGAAUGAAGCUAGAUACAGAUUUAAUCCUGCUUUGCCUCUGUUAAUUUUAGCACUAUCAAUUCAUUGGUUAAGACUUAAAAAGCCAGCAAAUAAAUAUUUCUAAAUCUGCUUAUCCUUCUCCAUAUUAGAAAAUUAUGUUUGAUGUUAGGUGAGUUUUCGUGGCUAAAGUAUUUUAAUCUAUAGAAAGAUACCAAAAACAAAAAAGUUAAUGGGAUUCUAAAUUCCUUAAUAGCAUGGGGCAUUUUAAGAACUGAAUUCAGUACCUCUUCCACCAAAAGUAAGAAUCACACUAACAUUCUGAAGAACUGUGCAUUUUCGUUGUAGUUAUGUGCCAUUUUUGUGCAUUUAUGAUCAUGCUAUUUCUAGUUUGAAAGUCCACAGCUCAGUUUUCCUCCAGGGACUCUUUAAAUGUAAUUAGCAAAGAUAUUCAAUGUUUGAUGCUUCCUCUGUUGAUUCUUCCUAGUCUUAGGACACCUCCAUAAUAUCUACGUGGCUUUUCCUUUUGUUGGGUGGGGUGCUGUGGAAAGCUUGGGUAGCCACUUCACUAAAAUCAAGGAUUCUAGAAGGAUUGGUAAUUCGGGCUGGUGGGUAUAAACGGGUCGUGUCAAGACACUGGUAUAACACAGAAAUACUCAACCCGAACAUGACUCAUUUAACUAAUCGGGUCAAGAUUCUAAACCUUAAUACGAAAAUGAUAUUAAGCAAAUUACACGACAAGGCCCGUGUAACCUGUUUAAUAUUAUGCAAGUCAUAGCAUAUCAAUGUGUUCAUCAUUUUACAAAAUUAUACGAUAACACAAUUAAUAGUUUGAAAAAUAUUAAUAUAAUUAGCAAAUAAUGAUAUAUUUUUAUAUUAUUUUAAUUAAAUAUGUUUAUUGUGUAUAUUUGUCUAGUGUAUUUACAUGUUAAUUUAUUAACCUGAUUAAAUAAACGUGUCUAACCAGAGAUGGGUCAUAAACCUACUAUUUUACUUUUUUAUAAAUGGAUUGACCCGUUUAUAGGCCAAAUUGUUUAUCCAAAACCCAACCCCUGUUUAACUACGUGUGACGCCAUGUAAUCAGGUUGUCAAAAAUUGCCAACCUUGUUCUAGAGUAACAGUGAAAUUACUAGUUUUGAGUAAUGAAAAUUGUUGUUUGGUGUGUGGUACUUGUUGGGUGGUGGUUAUAAAUAAUGUUUGGAAUCAACAUUGUACUGUGGACUAGCAAUGAGUUCGCUAGUUUUGAUGUUGCCUUGUCCGUUUUCACAUCAGCUGCUGAUUUAUUUAGGUGCAUUUGUAAAUUUUAUUUGCAAAUUUCAUGUCACUUGCUCCAAUAUCAUAGUAGAUGUUACCUUGUUGAAAGUUAGAAGGAAACAGGUUCUUAAACUCUGUGAGGUGCUUUUCUCAGAAUGUAUAUCACCAUUCGUGCAGGAGACAGUGAGCUGGAGAUUGUUUCUACUCUCUGAUUUUGGUCGUCUUCAUUUGGGUUGUUGAUUCAGUGAUUGAAUCUGCACUUUACGUGAACUCCCACAAUCAUUUGGCAGCUUGAGGCAAUUGGAUUUUUAUUGCUUGCUGAGCCACAGGUAUAGUUCUAAAUUGCUUGCUUAGACUGCAAACCAGUGACUUAUUUACUUAACAAUUGCAUGGUGUGAAAUCAUAUUGGAUGGACAAUAAAUUAUGUGGGCUCUCAUGAAUUUUCAAAUUGUUUGACAUAGCAAAAUUAUUUUACUUUCUUGCCAGAAACCACAAGUUAAUAAAAUCUGGUUAUUAUAUUCAACAAUUAGGCAAGAACGGAAGUGGGGCACUAGGACUUGUAGUUAUGCAGUUGAGUUUAGGCUAGAUUAUUUGGAUCUUUCAUUAUCAGAUGCCAAAAACAAGACAGGAAAGGUGGGAUAGGUAGUCUAUAGUUGACAUGGAGACAGAUACGUAGUUGUAUUAUUUUAAUGUCAAUAUUGAAAACUAACAACAGGUGGGGGCAUUCCGAGAAUCGAACUCGUGAUCUCUCGCACCCAAAGCGAGAAUCAUACCACUAGACCAAAUGUCCUGUAGCUAUCUUUUAUAACUUAUUUCGCUAGUUAUUUCUGUUAAUUUUCGUGAACUCUCUGAAGUAGGUACUUGCUAGACUUUGACCUUUGAUGCUACCAUUACCUCUUAGUCAUUUAUCUGGUCAGUCAGAUACAAGACAUUUGCAAAAUGCAUUGAUAGCUUAAAUUGGUUAAAAACUUAAGGUGCUGAUGCUAAAUACAAUUAUCUUGGCCUAGCAUAAUCCCAUGCCAUAGAUAAGCAGAUUCCUCUAACAUCAUGAGUAAUUGCUUUCUUCUUUUCAUGUCUUGACCUGGGUGGAGGCUAUCAGCAUCAAGCUUGUGCUUGAUUCAUUAUUUUACACAACUACUUCUGGUAUAAGCUGUACGCAAAAAGUAAGGGCUUAUAAUUUAAAAAACAAUCUAGAUGGGGCGUUCUGAGAAUUGAACUCUAGACCUAUCACACCAAAAGCGAGAAUCAUACCACUAGACUAAAUGCCCAUUCAUUAACACUUGUCAUGUACAAUUUUCAAUUUAAGCUGAAUCUGUAUUAAUGCAAAAGACUGUUUGAAGGUUUAUUUCACAUUUCCUUUUACCUCUGAUUAGCAAAUACAUUCAAAUUUGCUUUGUUGUCUAUUGUUAGUUUAGUAUUUCUUUCAUACCACAGGAUUGUGGAGUAAACAUAGUAUAAUGGGAAUGUUUGCUUCUUAUUUUUCUCAAAAAACAUUGACAGAAUUGCUCUCAGGAAAGGUCAGUUUGGAGAGCAGCAAUUAUUCAAAAAAUAGUUUCACUAACUCUUUUAUGUUCUUGCUCUGGUAAACCUACCAUGGCAAAAGUGUAUGUUUUGCUUAACUGAUGCCUGAUUUGCUGUUGCAGCUUUUCUUCUCUUGGAAUUUCGCAUUCACACUUCUUGCAGUCUUUGACUUAGAUACUAAUUUUUACAAUGUCAUUAAAGAUAUAAAGAAUAAUUAAUAUAUCAGUCAUAAGACACUCAUUGAGAUGAGGUACUUACCUAAAAAAUUUCUUAGGAAAUUCAGAUUUACAGCUUCAGGCAAAUUAUAGCUUUAACUUUGGUUCCCUUGGCUGGGUUAUUGACUGAGUGAAAUCUACUUUAGUGAACUGGAUUCUCACUUACUGCAGACGCCAAAGAUUUGAGUUUGGAAUUUUAGUUUCCCACUUCCAUGUCACUUGCUGCUUUUUUCGGACUACGUGUUACCUGAUUAUAUUAGUAAAGGUUGUGAGAAUGAGCAAUACAUUGUGCUAUGGAUCAUUACUUGAUCACAUUACUAAAGGUUGUGAUUGUGAACAAUGUAUUGUGCUAUAGAGCGUUACUUGAUCAUAUUAGUAAAGGUUGUGAGAAUGAGCAAUAUAUUGUGCUAUAGAUCAUAAAUAUUUAUAAGUUGCUUUUCUCAAGAUUUCUUAAAAACUUUGUACUAGUUGUGAUAAAGGAUGGUGGUCUUCAGUUAGUUUCUAUUUGUUGCUCGAGUGAUUGAGCUUACGCUUAGAAUAAACUUCCACAACAUUUCAUAGAGUUGAGGCAGCUGGUUUUUAUUGAUUGCUGAGGUCUUAGUCAUAUUCAUUGCUUACCUAGAAUGCAAAGUCACUGGCUGUUUGCUUGGUAGAUAAAAAUUUUAUUAGAGAAUUUCAAUCAUGAAAAUUUCAUAUUGUUCUGCAGUUGACUUUAGGCCAGAUCACAUGGCCAAAUUAUUUUUAACUUUAUUAUUAGGAACCAAAUAAUAUAUUGAAUGUAUACUGAGUCUUCGACAAAGAAGGUCGUCCACUAGGGACUUUUAGUUCUUCUGUUGGCUUCAGGCCAGAUAAUUAAUUCUUGAAACAGAACAAGAACGAGGGACAAAAAACAAGGUGGGGCAUUCCGAGAAUCGAACUUGGUACCUCUCACACCCAAAGCGAGAAUCAUACCACUAGACCAAAUGCCGAUUUGUCAAUGUUACUCCUAUUAAUUUAAAUCAGAUUACACUAAACAUGUCUCUUGUUGGAUACUUUUGAAGGCCUUGGAUGACCUAUCAGACUCAUAUGAGAAAAAUACUUUAACAGAAGCACAAAUUUUCUGCGAUGAAGUUGCAUGCAUAUGCAUACCUGUAUAUUACAAUUUCAGCCAUCUUUAAAUUGCUAGUGUUUUUGGUUAGUGAAUUUGUUCUUAGUAAUUGUAGCAUUUGGCAGGGUUUGGGUUGAUGGCCAAUAUUCUUGAUGAAUGGGCAGCUGGAUACUGGUAUGAUCCUGAGCUUGCAAAUCUUUAUGUGAAGUUAUAAACACAAUCUUCAUGCAUACGGUAGAAGAAGCUUAAAAAAAUAAAAGAAAAAAAUAUGAAACACUAAUCAUCUGAAAAUAAUGGGGCUCUCCGAGAAUUGAACUCGGGACCUCUCACACCCUAAGCGAGAUCAUACCACUAGACCAAAUGCCCAACCACUGAUGUUAGUUUCUGUGGUGAUUCCAAAUACCAUUUCCUAUGCAAGGUUUGAAUGAAAAUUGAAGACUUUUGAAAAGUUAUAUUCUUCUGUUUCAACUAAAAGAAGUAUAUCUCUGCAUGUUAAUGGCAUUUAGCACUUGAUUAAUGAUCAUUUAUGCAGUAACCUGUCCACCUAGAUUUCAACAUCUACUGCUCUUUCUGUAACAAUUUCUACAAAAAGAAAAUAGGAAAAGAAUUGAUUGGCAGGGAAUCUUGUCAGACAACUGUGUUUAUUUAUUCUCUGAUAUAGUUUUCACUGUUUGACAUGCCUCUGCUUAAGGGCCAUAUGAACUAAACUCAUUGGUUACUUCCUAAAUUAUUUGGCAGAUAAACUAUUGGAUCAGAGUAAUUAAGAUCAAUGAUUAUUAUAAAAAAAACCAAGCAUUUUACUUUUGCUAUUUGACUUGUUUUGCCCAAAAAAUAUUUAAAUUGAAAUGGUAAAGUGGGGGCAAUCCGAGAAUCAAACUGGGGACUUGUCGCACCCAAAGCAAGAAUCAUACCACUAGAUCAAAUGCCCAUUUGUUGUUACUAACUAUGUACAAUAUUUGUUCAUGGUAAUGGAAUUGCUAGUUUAAAGAUUUGGAGCACAAACUCCCUGUCAGAUUGGAAGUGUAAUUGGCAAAUAUACUGAAUGCACGACGGUUAGUGGCUUUUAGCUAGUUCGAGGAUGUAUUUCCUACCAGCUUCUUGGGAUGUGUGUUUGGGGUCUUAUCUGAGUAGUAAUAAAUCAGAAUGCAUGCAUAUUGGCCCUUUAUAGCCCCCAUUGUGCUUGGUGUUAUGUAGACUUGAGCACAAUUCCUCGCAUUUGUUGUUACGUUUCUGCUCAGCUAGGUCGCAAAACCACCGGCUGAUGCACUUGGUAACCCUUGGUGUUAGUGUAGAAUAUAUUCAGAGCUUAUAUUAUAUGUGCAGUCAUGAAGACUAAAUGUUGUUCUGCAGUUGACUUUAUGCCAGAUCUUGACCAAAUUAUUUCAACUUUAUUUAGAAAAACACUAUGUUGAAUAUGUUUGCUGAAUUCUUUAAACAGACAAUAGAAGUGAGGCACUAGGGAAGUAUAGUUAUGUUGUUGACUUCAGGACAGAUUUUAAUUCAAUAACACAAAGCCAAAAACAUGAUGGGGGCAUUCCGAGAAUCCAACUCGGGACCUCUUGCACCCAAAGCGAGAAUCAUACCACUAGACCAAGUCCCCAUUUAUCAAUGUUAUUUUGUUUUAAUUUGUAAUUAACAUCUUCUCUGCUCCUAUUAAUUUAAAUCUGAUUAUACUGAACAUGUCUAUUAUUGGGCUUUCUUUGAUGGCCUUGGAUGAUAUAUCAGACUCAUAUGAGCCAGAUGCCUUGAACAGAAGAAAACGAAAUUUCUUUUAUGUUGCAAUGAAAUUGAGUACUUUUGUACACCUGUAAAUUACAAUCUUAGCCCCUAUAUUGGAAGUAAUUUUUGUUAGUAAACUUUUGUUUAAUAUUUAUACCAUUUUGGCAGGGUUCAGGUUUCUAUUCUUCCUUCUGUUCAUUUGUUAUUUUCGUUUGGUUUGUUGAUUGAGUGAUUGGACUGCCCUGGAAAUGUGCUUCCAUAACCUUUUGGCAGUUAAGGCAGCUGGCUUUAAUCAAUUUCUCGCAUUUGUUGUUAUGUUUCUGCUGAGCUAGAUUGCAUAACCACUGGCUGAAGUACUUGGUAAUCCAUGCUGUUAGGUGCAGAAUCUUAUCAGAGUAUAUAUUAUAUGUGUUGCCAUGAAUAUUAACUAUUGUCUGCAGUUGACUUUAUGCCAGAUCACAUGACCAAAUUAUUUCAACUUCAUUAUAGAAACAAAAACUAUGUUGAAUAUGUUUGCUGAAUUCUUCAAACAGACAAUAAAGGCGGGGCAUUAGGGACUUGUAGUUAUGCUGUUGACUUCAUGCCAGAUUUUAAUUUCAAUAUUAUAAAACCAAAAAUAUGCUGGGGCAUUCCGAGAAUUGAACUCGGGACCUCUCGCACCCAAAGCGAAAAUCAUACCACUAGACCAAAUGCUCAUUUGUAAACGUUAUUUGUUUUAAUUUGUAUUUAAUUUCUUCUCUAACUGCUUCUUUUAGUUUAAAAUUGACUAGACUGAACAUGUCUGCCAUUGGGCUUUCUUUGAAGUUCUUGGAUGAUGUAUCGGACUCAUACGAGCAAAAUGCCUUAACAGAAGAAACAAACUUAAGUAGCAUUCAUUUGCAUAACUGUAUAUUAUAGUUUUAGAAUCUUAGGUAGUAAUUUUUGUGAGUAAACUUUAGUAUUUGUAUCAUUUGGCAAAUUCAGGUUAAUUGCCUUUGGUGUUGAUGAAAGGGAGCUAGAUACAGGUAUGAUACUAAGCUUGCUAAUCUUGUUAUGAAGUUGUGAAAAUCGUCUUAUUGCCAUCUGUGGAAGAAAUUUCAAGAAAAGAAAACGAAAAAUCAUGGAACAUUUGAUUUUUGUAUAAAAUGGGGCAUUCCGAGAAUUGAACUCGGGACCUCUCGCACCCUAAGCGAGAAUCAUACCACUAGACCAAAUGCCCAACUGUAGAUGUUAUUUUCUCUGGUGAUUCUUAAUGCUAUCUCCAAUCUAAGGUUUGGGUGAAAACCGAAAAGACUUUUGAAAAGUUAUUUUCUUCUCUUUGGAUCAAAGAAACAUAUCUCUGUUAGGAAAUGGCAUAUAGCACUUGAUUUAUGAUCAUUUAUGCAGUAAUCCGGCCACCUAGAUCUCAGCAUCUACUGCUCUUUCUGUAAUACUUUCAGUUUCUCAGAAAAAAAUGAUUGACAUGGAAUCUUGUCAGAUAACUGAGUUAUUUUAUUUGCUGUUACAGUUUUUACUGUUUGACAUUCCUCUGCUGAAAGACCAUAUAAACUGAACUCCAUGGUUCCUGAUUUACUUCCUAAACUCAUGAGCAUAGAUGAUAAACUAUUAGAUCAGAGUAGGUAGCAUUGCAGAUUAUUAUAAAAAAUCAUAAAACAUUUUUCUCUGGCUAUUUGACUUAUUGUGCACAAUGACAAUUUAAAUCAUAGUUAUAAAGUAGGGGCAUUUCGAGAAUCGAACUCGGGACCUCUCGCACCCAAAGCGAGAAUCAUACCACUAGACCAAAUGCCCAUUUGUUGAUAAUAUGUACAGUAUGUGUUCAUGCAAUACAAUUACUGGUUUGAACGUUUGAAGCACAAUUUCCCUUACAGGAUUGGAAGUCUAAUUGACAAAGAUAUUCAAAGCAUGACACUUGGUAGCUUCUUGUUAGUCUUGGGCUGUAUUUUCUACCAGCUUCUCACAGUAUGUGUUCAUGCAAUACAAUUACUGGUUUGAACAUUUGAAGCACAAUUUCCCUUACAGGAUUGGAAGUGUAAUUGACAAAGAUAUUCAAUGCAUGACACUUGGUAGCUUCUUGUUAGUCUUUGGCUGUAUUUUCUACCAGCUUCUCUUUUUCUUCUAUUGGGGUGUGUGUUUGGCGUUUUAUCUGAGCAGUAAUGAAUGAGAAUACUUGCAUACUGGCCCUUUAUAGUUCCCAUUCUUGCCUGCUCCACCUGCUACAAAAAAAUUUUAAUUGAUGUUUAGCAGAUUAAACUUGCUGCUUUUCUUGGAAUUUUAUUUGCCCAUUUGCAUCUCACUUGGUGCACUAUGUAACUAGACGAUGUGGUUUUAUUAAAGGUUGUGGAAACAAGCAAUAACUUUGCUAUGAGUCACCAAUUUUACUAAGGUUCUUUUCUCAAGGUUUUUCAAGUAAAUUUCUAUUGCUGGUCAUGAUAAAGUAUGAUGGUCUACAACUAGUUUCUACUCUACAAUUUGUUGUCUUCAUUUGAUUUGUUGAUUGAAUGAUUGAACUGCUCCUGAAAUGUGAUUAUAUAACCUCUUGGCAGGGUUGAGGCAGUUGGCUUUUCAUCAAAUGGCGGCAUUUUUGUUGGUAUGUUUCUGGUCAGCUAGGUUGCAAAAAUUAUUGGCUUAUGCACUUGAUAAACCUUGGUGUUAGUAUAGAAUGUAUUCAUAGCUUAUAUAAUAUGUGCAGUGGUGAAGAUUAAAUAUUGUUCUCUAGUUGACUUUAUGCCAGAUCAUGUGACCUAAUUAAUUCAACUUUAUUGCAAAAAAACUAUAUUGAAUAUGUUUGCUGAAUUCUUUAAACAGACAAUAAAGGUGAGGCACUAGGGACGUAUAGUUAUGCUGUUGACUUCAGGACAAAUUUUAAUUCAAUUACACAAAACCAAAAACAUGAUGGGGGCAUUCCGAGAAUCGUAUGAGCAAAAUGCCUUGAACAGAACAAAACGAAAUUUCUUUUAUAGAGCAAUGAAAUUGAGUACAUAUGCAUACCUGUAAAUUAUAAACUUAGCCCCUAUGUUGGUAGUAAUUUUUGUUAGUAAACUUGUUUUCAAUAUUUAUACCAUUUUUGGCAGGGUUGGUUCAGGUUUCUAUUCUUCCUUUUGUUCAUUUGUUGUAUUCGUUUGGUUUGUUGAUUAGUGAUUGAACUGCCUGGAAAUGUGCUUCCAUAACCUUUUGGCAGGGUUAAGGCAGCUAGCUUUUAAUCAAUUUCUCGCAUUUGUUGUUAUGUUUCUUGAGCUAAUAUUGCAAAAGUACUGGCGGAUGUACUUGGUAAUCCAUGCUGUUAGGUGUAGAAUCUUAUCAGGGCUUAUAUUAUAUGUGUAGUCAUGAACAUUAACUAUUGUUCUGCAGUUGACUUUAUGCCAGAUCACAUGACCAAAUGAUUUCACCUUUAUUAUAUAAACAAGAACUAUGUUGAAUAUGUUUGCUAAUUCUUCAAACAGAAAAUAAAGGUGGGGCAUUAGGGACUUGUAGUUUUGCUGUUGACUUCAGGCCAGAUUUUAAUUUCAUUAUUAUAAUACCAAAAACAUGUUGGGGCAUUCCGAGAAUCGAACUCGGGACCUCUCGCACCCAAAGCGAGAAUCAUACCACUAGACCAAAUGCCCAUUUGUAAAUGUUAUUUUGCCUUAAUUUGUAUUUAAUUUCUUCUCUAACCGCUUCUUUUAGUUUAAAACUGAUUAGACUGAACAUUUCUGCCAUUGGGCUUUCUUUGAAGGUCUUGGAUGAUGUAUCAGACUCGUAUGAGCAAAAUGAAUUAACAGAAGAAACAAACUUAAGUUGCAUUCAUAUGCAUAACUGUAUAUUAUAGUUUUAGAAAUCUUAGAUAGUAAAUUUGUGAAUAAACUUGUUCUUCGUAUUUGUAUCAUUUGGUAAUGUUCAGGUUAAUUGCCUUUGCUGUUGCUGAAAGGGAGCUAGAUACAGGUAUGUUACUGAGCUUUCUAAUCUUGUUAUGAAGUUGUGAAAUCUUCCGAGAAUUGAACUCGGGACCUCUCGCACCCUAAGCGAGAAUCAUACCACUAGACCAAAUGCCCAACUGUAAAUGUUAUUUUCUCUGGUGAGUCUUAAUGCCAUUUCCAAUCUAAGAUUUGGGUGAAAACCGAAAAGACUUUUGAAAAGUUAUUUUCUCCUCUUUGGAUCAAAGAAACAUAUCCCUUUUAGGUAAUGGCAUAUAGAACUUGAUUUAUGAUCAUUUAUGCAGUAAUCUGGCCACCUAGAUCUCAGCAUCUACUGCUCUUUCUCUAACAUUUUCUGUUUCUCAAAAACCAAAAAAAAAUGAUUGACAUGGAAUCUUGUCAGAUAACUUAGUUAUUUUAUUUGCUUUUACAGUUUUACUGUUUGACAUUCCUCAGCUGAAAGACCAUAUAAACUGAACUUCAUGGUUACUGAUUUACUUCCUAAACUCAUGAGCAUAGAUGAUAAACUAUUAGAUCAGGGUAGGUAGCAUUGCAGAUUAUUAUAAAAUAUCAUAAAACAUUUGUCUCUGGCUAGUUGACUUAUUGUGCACAAUGAUAAUUUAAAUUGUAGUUAUAAAGUAGGGGCAUUCCGAGAAUCGAACUCGGGACCUCUCGCACCCAAAGCGAGAAUCAUACCACUAGACCAAAUGCCCAUUUGUUGAUAGUAUAUACAAUAUGUGUCCAUGGCAAUGCAAUUACUGGUUUGAACAUUUGAAGCACAAUUUCCCUUACAGGAUGGUAAGUGUAAUUGACAAAGAUAUUCAAUGCAUGACACUUAGCUUCUUGCUAGUCUUGGGCUGUAUUUUAUAGCAGCUUCUCUUUUUCUUCUUUUGGGGUGUGUUUGGGGUCUUAUCCGAGUAGUAAUGAACGAGAAUACUUGCAUACUGGCCCUUUAUCAUUCCCAUUCUUGCAAAAUAUUUUACUUGAUUUUUAGCUGAUUUACUUUGCUACUUUUAUUGGAAUUUUAUUUGCCCAUUUGCAUCUCACUUGGUGAACUCUUUAAUUAGACAAUGUGGUUUUAUUAAAGGUUGUGGAAACAAGCAAUAACUUUGCUAUAAGUCACUAAUUUUACUGAGGUGCUUUUCUCAAGGUUUUUCAAGUAAAUUUCUAUUGCUGGUCAUGAUAAAGUAUGAUGGUCUAGAAUUAGUUUCUAGUCUACCAUUUGUUGUCUUCAUUUGAUUUGGUGAUCGAGUGAUUGAACUGCUCCUGAAUGUGCUUAUAACCUUUUGGCAGGGAAGGCACCUGGUUUUUCAUCAAUUGCCGGCAUUUUUGUUGGUAUGUCUCUGGUCAGCUAGGUUGCAAAAACCAUUGACUGAUGCACUUGGUAACCCUUGUUGUUAGUGUAGAAUAUAUUCAGAGCUUACGAUAAAUGUGCAGUGAUGAAGAUUAAAUAUUGUUCUGCAGUUGACUUUAUGCCAAUUCACAUGACCAAAUCAUUUCAACUUAAUUAUAAGAAAACUACGUUGAAUAUGUUUGCUGAAUUCUUUAAACAGACAAUAAAGUUGAGGCACUAGGGACUACUAGUUAUGCUGUUAACUUCAGGACAGAUUAUAAUUCAAUAUCACAAAACCAAAAACAUGAUGGGGGCAUUCCGAGAAUCGAACUCGGGACCUCUCGCACCCAAAGCGAGAAUCAUACCACUAGACCAAAUGCCCAUUUUUCAAUAUUAUUUUGUUUUAAUUUGUAAUUAACUUCUUCUCUGCUCCUAUUAAUUUAAAUCUGAUUAGACUGAACAUGUCUAAUGUUGGUUGGGGUUUCUUUGAUGGCCUUGGAUAGUGUAUCAGACUCAUAUGAGCAAAAUGCCUUAACCAGAAGAAAACAAACUUUCUUUUAUGGAGCAAUGAAGUUGAAUGCAUAUGCAUACCUGUAAAUUAUAAUCUUAGCCCCUAUACUGGUAGUAAUUUUUGUUAAUAAACUUGUUCUUAAAAUUUGUACCAUUUUGGCAGGUUUCAGGUUAAUUGGGAGGCAGAGACAGGUUUGAUACUAGCUUUCUAAUCCUGUUAAGUUCUUAGCACCAUCUUUUUGCAUUCUGUGGAAGAAACUUCUGCUUUUCAGAAAAAAGAAAAAAAAAAUCAUGGAACACUUGAUUUCUGAAUAAAAUGGGGCAUUCUGAGAAUUGAACUCAGGACCUCUCGCACCCUAAGCGAGAAUCAUGCCACUAGACCAAAUGCCCAAUUUGACCUUAUAGCUAUGUAAGGCUUGAUUGAAAAAGACUUUUAAAUGAUAUUUUCUCACUUUGGAUUCAGAAGAAACAUAUCUUCAUCUGUGAUGACCAUAUUUAGCACUUGAUUUAUGAUCCCUUAUGCAGUAGUUUUUUAUCCAUCUAGAUUUCAGCAUCUACUGUUCUGUCUAUCAAAUUUUUUGUUUUCCAAAAGGAAAUUGUUUGGCAUGGAUUUGGAAUCUUGUCAGAAAACCUAAUUAUUUUAUUGUGUUAUAGACUAUUAAACUGAAAUCGAGGGCUGCUAAUUUAGUUUCUAAAAUCAUUGGCAUAGUUGACUAUUAGUAUUAGAUCCGAGUAAACAUCUAAGAAGCAAGCAUAAAGCAUUUUUCUUUUGCUACUGUUUAUUUGACUCAUCUCUCAAAANNNNNNNNNNNNNNNNNNNNNNNNNNNNNNNNNNNNNNNNNNNNNNNNNNNNNNNNNNNNNNNNNNNNNNNNNNNNNNNNNNNNNNNNNNNNNNNNNNNNNNNNNNNNNNNNNNNNNNNNNNNNNNNNNNNNNNNNNNNNNNNNNNNNNNNNNNNNNNNNNNNNNNNNNNNNNNNNNNNNNNNNNNNNNNNNNNNNNNNNNNNNNNNNNNNNNNNNNNNNNNNNNNNNNNNNNNNNNNNNNNNNNNNNNNNNNNNNNNNNNNNNNNNNNNNNNNNNNNNNNNNNNNNNNNNNNNNNNNNNNNNNNNNNNNNNNNNNNNNNNNNNNNNNNNNNNNNNNNNNNNNNNNNNNNNNNNNNNNNNNNNNNNNNNNNNNNNNNNNNNNNNNNNNNNNNNNNNNNNNNNNNNNNNNNNNNNNNNNNNNNNNNNNNNNNNNNNNNNNNNNNNNNNNNNNNNNNNNNNNNNNNNNNNNNNNNNNNNNNNNNNNNNNNNNNNNNNNNNNNNNNNNNNNNNNNNNNNNNNNNNNNNNNNNNNNNNNNNNNNNNNNNNNNNNNNNNNNNNNNNNNNNNNNNNNUUCAUUGAUUCCCCAGGGUCAUAGGUACUGGCCAGCUGGGUUGUAGAACCACUCUACCGACUUUGGAAUCUUAACCAGAGCAUAAUAUAUUAUAUAUAUAUAUAUAUAUAUAUAUAUGUGCAGCCACUGAACAUUGAAUAUUUUUCUGAAGACUUUUAGGCCAGAUCACAUGGCCAUAUUUUCUCAACUUUAUUGUCAAAAAAAAGAAAGAAAGCAAACUACUAUAUUAAAUAACAUGUUUGUUUUAUUCUGCAGACAGAUCCUAACCCAUAAAGAAGGCGGGGGCACCAGCAGCAACUUGUAGUUCUGCUGAUGACUGUAGUUAGUUUCCAAUAUCGCCAAAAAAAGCAAUAGCAUAUAUACAGGGGCAUUCCGAGAAUCGAACUCGGGACCUCUCGCACCCAAAGCGAGAAUCAUACCACUAGACCAAAUGCCCACUCCUUAAAUAUUUAAUGUUUCUUUUCCCUAUUAAAUCAAAUCGGAUUAGAUUAAACAUUUUCUUAUGUUAGACUCUUCUUUUUAUUUUUUUUAUAAUCAAAUUCGUAUCAGCAAAAUGCUUUAACAGAAGACACAAAGUUCCUUAUGUGGAGCUGAGUAUAUGCUAUUGCAAUUGUACCAAACUUCCAUUGGUUGAAUUUCUUGUUUGUGAAGAUGUUCUUAGUCGUUUUGCCAUUGAGCUAUAAUCCUAAGAUCGCUAAUCUUGAUGUUUGAUACCACCUUCAUGUUUUUUAUUUAAUCCUAAUAUAAAAUAAUCUAAACUUCUGCCAUUUUGAUCCAAAAAAUUUUAUUUUAGGAAAGUAAAAAAAAAAAAUCAAGUGGUUGCAUGUUUUUUCAUUUAAUGAUAUUAUUAUGAUUUCAUUUCUUUUUUGUCUCAUAAUUUCUCAACUAAUAUUGUUAUCUUUUAUACUAUGACAUUAAUAUAUAUUGAUUUCAAUAGUAAAAUUAUUCUCUAACUGAUUUACUAUUACACUGACUAAUAGAACAUUAUUUUAAAAAUUAUUUUAUUUUAUUCCUUAUAAAACUAACAUAAUAAUGUAAUACCCAUAAUUUUUUUUAAUAAUGAUAAUAUUAAUAAUAAUUAAUGAAUGAGUUUUUAUUUAAUUUAAUUUUACUUUAUUUUUAUUUAGUUUAAGUGGAAUGAUUUAAAUGGGAUUUUAAUGCUAGAUAAAAUAAGAGAGUUACUUUGUAUAUCUAAUUUUUUUGAUUUUUUUUCAGAAAUUAAUUAAGUAAAUUUUUAAAAAAAUGUAUUAUAUUUUCGGUCAUUCAAUUUUUUUUCAAUAUGAAUAUAUAAAUUAAUUUCUAUAUUGAAAGUUAUGAAAGAAUUAGUAAAGGAUAUUUUAUAAAAGAAUUAUUGGGAAAAUGGCCUUUUAAUUAGCUAAUGGUGUUAAUUUUAAUUGAAAAAUAUUUAGCAAAUUGAUUAAUUAAAUUAAUUGUGUUAGGAUUAAAUUGAAAAUUUAUUUUGGAAUAAGGAUUAAAAAUAUAAUUUUCUUAAUAUAGGAUUUUUAAUGAAAUUUGUAUAUUUUAUAUUUUUGUAAUUAAAUAUGUCGGCAAGAGCUUUUUGGUAAUUUUACAUUUAAAAGCAAGGGUAAAUAAGUAAUUAUAUAUUUUUAAUAAUUCUAAUUUGGCCCAAAUUAAAUAGUUAGGGGCUGAAUUGAAAAGCUAAAGAAAAGUUUAAGGGUUAAUCACAAAUUUUGUUGGACGAAAUUGUUGGUAAUUAAAGAAGUUGAGAGACUAAAUGGUUAUUAAGUAAAAUUUGAGGGACCAUUUUGCGAUAAGAAAAGAAAGAAAAGAGAGAGAAAUCGGGGAAGAAAAGGAAAAGGAGGAAAGGGGGGAGAAGCUUCCAUCGGCCUUCAUGGCAGUCGGGGGAGGCAUUCGUCUAGGGCUCAGCGAAGUUGGCCGGAGGUGCAACUAGCACCGGCGAGCUCAAGGGUGGCGACGGUGGCAACGUUGGGGACGUCAGUAGGCGGCAAAAAGGAAGGAAAGCAGCAGCCUUUCUGGACGCCGUUUAUGGCGUUUCCGGCAUUGGUAGCUACUAUUUUUGGUGGCGAUCGACUUCCCUGGACCUAAGCUUCAUUUUAGUGGUGGUGGUGUCGUAAAUGGUAGACAGAGUUGGAAAUUUAUGGUGGAGAGAGAAAAUGGAUGGCAACCGCAUUUCCUGGCUUUUCCGGCGAGCUUUGGCUGAUCAAAGUACAUAUCCGAACUCUCCUCAGCUCAAGCUUCCCAAUGGCACCGGUUUUAUGGUGAUCGGACUCCGUUUGAAAAUCGAUGGUCGAGAUUGUCCGUAAAUCUCUCCGGAUGAUCGAGGGUCGGAUCGGAAGAUCGGAAGCUGGGAUCAUCAUCAACGCGUUAUUUUGAAUCCAUUGUUACGUUCGGAUCAUCGAUUGGACUCCAGCGGCUAGAGGCAAGACGGCUGAGCGAUCAAGCGUCUCGGUAAUUUCUCUGGCUCGUUGAUCUUAGAAUUCAUUGGUAAAAUUUAUAUGUUUAUUGAAUUGUGUUGAGUAUUAGAAAAUAUUGUGAGUUAAAAUAAUUAAUUGUCGGACUGUCUGCCAUUGGUCGUAAUUUAUGAUGUGUGGCGAAGUUGGAAAAAAUAGUGAAGUCUUGGGGACCAGACUCCCGUUAAAAUAAAUUGUUGAAUAUUUGAAGUGUUUCCUGGCAAGUUCUGGACCUUUUAUACAGAGAGUAAAUGUUCGUAAUUUAGGGAGGUUCUGCCGAAUUUUCGGUAGGAUUCUUCCGAGUCGAGAUUCUUAGACAGUCAGUCCUAGGAGUCUAGACUUAGGGUUAAUUGUCAAAUGUUUUAAUGUUAUUGAUUAAAUUGUUUUAUACGAUUAGAUAAUCCGUCAGUUCGGCUCGCUCCACCCGAGGCAUCGGAGUAGAGCUAGGAGGUCGUCAGAACUGUGAGUUAAAGUCAUAUGUCUGCUUACGUAUGUCAUGCUAAGAUUUUUACGUGAUAUCUCUGAUUAAAUAAUUAAUAUUUUAAUUAUUUAGUUAUUUACUGUUUAUAUAUGUUUCAUUUUCUGUAUUAUGAUUUUAUUGAUUUCGUGUUGACUCGGGAUAGGACGGCUGUAGAACAUGCUAUUUGAUGAGUUGCAUUAGGACCGUGUACGUACUGGUAGAAAUCUGAAAUAGAUAGUAAAAAGGAUAAAUUUUAAAAGGUAAAUUUAGGACUUGCCCUCGUCGAGCAUUGCUCUCUAGGCUGAGUAGAGUAAGUUUGCUGGAGUAAAGGUCUCUGGUCGAGCAUUGCUCUCUAGGCGCCGGCUUAUUUGGAAACCUAAGGGACUGGACUGGAGUUAAGGACCCUGGUCGAGCUUCGCUCUCUGGGCGCCAGUCUUAUUGGAGUAAAAGAGUCGAAAGACUAAGACUGAUAGUGAUAAUUAAGUGACUGGACUGGAGUUAAGGACCCUAGUCAAGCUUCGCUCUCUGAGCGCCAGUUCUAUUGGAAUGAGAGAGUCAAGAUGUUAGUGUUAGGAUUAGGGUUCUACUGAACUACUCCGUCCUGUAGUAUGUGAAAGUUAUUUUUUUUAUUUAAGCAUAGCAUGACACGUAUAUUUUUGCAUGGCUUAAUGUUUAUUUCAAAUUAAAUAAAUGUGUUAUUGAAGUGUUUGUAAUUAUUUUUGAAUAUAUUAUUUUAACUCACUCUCGAGAGUGACAGUCUCAAUUUCACUGUUUUUCAGGUGAUUGUUAGUCUUUCCGCAGUUCUUAUCUAGCAACCCGACUCAUUCAUCAUCGGAUUGAUGUAAUUGAUUUUGGUAUGCUUGAGUUGUAAAAUUUUAAAUUCUCCGCAGUAGAAAUUUUAGACUUAUCAGUUGUAAUUUUAUGUAAAUUCGGGUCUUGCCUAAUUAUGCAGGCAGACCGAAUUAAAUAUGUAGAAUUUUAUGGUUACGGUUAAUUGUGAACCAUGCUUUAGAGUGAGUCUGAAUUUCAAUUUGAUUGAGUUAGUGAAUGGUCAGGCUUACUACAAGAUUUGGUGGCCUUACGCCUACUCAUUCCCUAAUGCCAGUCACAGGCCCACAGGUCAGGUCGUGACAAAUAAUAUCAUCAUUAAUCAUGAAUUUAUUAUAGUUGUAUGAUAAACUAUUUAAUAAAUAAUUUCUUUAAAAUCUAAUAUUAUAUACUAAUAUAAGACCAUAUAAGUUUAACAUAUUUACCAAGAGGGUGUGAAAGUUAAAAUAAAAUAAAAUUAC
rnacentral:lncRNA from 1 species